GGACUACUAGGGUAUCUAAUCCCGUUUGCUCCCCUGGCUUUCGCGCCUCAGCGUCAGUAGAGAUCCAGUGCGUCGCUUUCGCCACCGGCGUUCCUUCUGAUAUCUACGCAUUUCACCGCUCCACCAGAAGUUCCACGCACCCCUACCUCCCUCUAGACAGACAGUAUCAAAGGCACUUUUCCGGUUAAGCCGAAAGAUUUCACCCCUGACUUGUCCGCCCGCCUACGCGCCCUUUAAGCCCAGUGAAUCCGAACAACGUUCGCACGGUUCGUCUUACCGCGGCUGCUGGCAC
rnacentral:rRNA from 2 species